rnacentral:misc_RNA from 1 species
GAUGAAGAACGUAGCAAAAUGCGAUAAGUAAUGUGAAUUGCAGAAUUCAGUGAAUCAUCGAAUCUUUGAACGCACAUUGCGCCCGCUGGUAUUCCGGCGGGCAUGCCUGUUCGAGCGUCAUUUCAACCCUCAAGCCCCCGGGUUUGGCGUUGGGGAUCGGCUCUGCCCUUCUGGGCGGUGCCGCCCCCGAAAUACAUUGGCGGUCUCGCUGCAGCCUCCAUUGCGUAGUAGCUAACACCUCGCAACUGGAACGCGGCGCGGCCAUGCCGUAAAACCCCAACUUCUGAAUGUUGACCUCGGAUCAGGUAGGAAUACCCGCUGAACUUAAGCAUAUCAAUAAGCGGAGGA